rnacentral:misc_RNA from 1 species
GGGGUCAUUUUGGCUAUUAGCGGCUUGCUUGGCCAUUGGGCUUGGUGGGUGGCUAAUAGUUUGGGUGUCUUCGGGGAUGUCUACCGUAAAGGUGCAUGAGUGGUGUUUGGUUUGUUACGGGUGGUUGGCUCUUUGCUUGCGCAACAACUUCCACCUGGCAUACCUCUUCAGUCUUGUGUCAAUGCUUGUAUUGCAUUGAAUGCACGACGGGUUUCUUGUGUUGCAUGCCUAAUCAAUGGUAUCGUUUGAUGAAUAGGUUUCCCUUUCGUCUUGCAACGCCUAUGCGAUGUGAGAUGAACCUUGAAGCAGCCUUUUUGAUCUACACUUUUGAUGCAUACGCAUUGAUUUUGUGGCCCAUUAAGUAUUGCUUGGUCUCAUGGAUAUGGAACAUGGUGUGGGCAUGGAAUUGUAGUGGUUCCUUGUUUGCCCAAGUUUAGCUUUUCAAAAACGAUUUGUCUAUCAUGUGUUAGCGUGGUAGACUAUGUCGAAUAUGAAUGCUACCUGGUGAUCCUGCC